rnacentral:rRNA from 1 species
UACGUAGGCACCAAGCGUUGUCCGGAUUUAUUGGGCGUAAAGAGCUCGUAGGCGGUUCGGUAAGUCGGGUGUGAAAACUCUGGGCUCAACCCAGAGCCGCCACCCGAUACUGCUGUGACUCGAGUGCGGUAGGGGAGCGGGGAAUUCCUGGUGUAGCGGUGAAAUGCGCAGAUAUCAGGAGGAACACCAAUUGCGAAGGCAGCUCGCUGGGACGUAACUGACGCUGAGACGCGAAAGCGUGGGGAGCAAACAGG